UAACACGUAUACAAUCUGCCCCCAUCAGGGAAAUAGCCCUUCGAAAGAGGGAUUAAUGUUCCAUAAUAUUAUUGGAUGGCAUCAUUUGAUAAUUAAAGUUUCGGCGGAUGGGGAUGAGUAUGCGUCCCAUUAGCUAGUUGGCGGGGUAACGGCCCACCAAGGCAACGAUGGGUAGCUGGUCUGAGAGGAUGAUCAGCCACACGGGCACUGAGACACGGGCCCG
rnacentral:rRNA from 1 species